GACGAACGCUGGCGGCGGGCCUAACACAUGCAAGUCGAGCGAAGCGAGGGACGGGUGAGUAAGGCAUAGGAAUAUACCUGGUCGUGGGGGAUAGGGUACGGAAGGGGAAGCGAAUACAGCAUACGUUCAGAUGUGACUAGGUGGCAUUAGCUCGUUGGAGGGGUAAGGGCGUACCAAGGCGACGAUCCAAAGCUGGCCUGAGAGGAUGAUCAGUCACACUGGAACUGAGACACGGUCCAGACUCCUACGGGAGGCAGCAGUGGGGAAUCUUGGGCAAUGGGCGAAAGCCUGACCCAGCCACGCCGCGUGUGUGAAGAAGGUCUUCGGAUCGUAAAGCUCUGUUAUUUGGGAAGCGGUACCUACACAGUAAGCACCGGCUAACUUCGUGCCAGCCGCCGCGGUAAUAC
rnacentral:rRNA from 1 species